UGGGGAAUAUUGCACAAUGGGCGAAAGCCUGAUGCAGCAACGCCGCGUGAGUGAUGAAGGCCUUCGGGUUGUAAAGCUCUGUCUUUUGGGACGAUAAUGACGGUACCAAAGGAGGAAGCCACGGCUAACUACGUGCCAGCAGCCGCGGUAAUACGUAGGCGGCAAGCGUUGUCCGGAUUUACUGGGCGUAAAGGAUGCGUAGGCGGAUUUUUAAGUGAGAUGUGAAAACCCUAAGCUUAACUUGGGGACUGCAUUUCAUACUGGAAAUCUAGAGUGCGGGAGAGGAGAAUGGAAUCCCUAGUGUAGCGGUGAAAUGCGUAGAGAUUAGGAAGAACACCAGUGGCGAAGGCGAUUCUCUGGACCGUAACUGACGCUGAGGCAUGAAAGCGUGGGUAGCAAACAGGAUUAGAUACCCUGGUAGUCCACGCCGUAAACGAUGAGUACUAGGUGUAGGAGGUAUCGACCCCUUCUGUGCCGCAGUUAACACAAUAAGUACUCCGCCUGGGAAGUACGAUCGCAAGAUUAAAACUCAAAUGAAUUGACGGGGUCAUAGCUGUUUCC
rnacentral:rRNA from 1 species